rnacentral:rRNA from 1 species
AUGUUUGAUGAUGAAGGUGCUAGCAAUGCGAAUGAUGAGGCUAAUGAGCAAAGAAUAAAAAGGAGCCGAAAUGUUAUAAACGAAAGCAGAAUGGGUGAGUGUUGGGAGCAUAUUUAUUUCCUUAAAAAAUAUAGGUUGUGCAGACUACAGGAUAUUGGAUACAUAUGUCAUGGUAAUGUUGUGGGUUACAUUGUUAAAGAUGAGGGUCCAUCACACAAUGUAGAUGAUGUUCCUGUGUACAACAAUCCUGUAGUGGAGCAUCAACCUAUUGAUGAGAAAAAAUUCUUAUUGGACAGACUUGCGAUAUAUGCACAAAAUAUCGUCGAGAUGGUUCAAUCCCUUCAUGAAAAUGAGUCACAGGAGGCAAAUGUUGUUUAUUUUAGUUCAACUGAAGCAAAGCUACCAAAGCGUAGGUAUGUUGCAUCUGCAAGUUUUUGCGGUGAUCCAUGGACACGGGGGUGUCUCCCGCAGCCGCCUCCAAUAGCAUUGACGAGCAAGUUCAAUUCAUGGAUAGCUGGAGGGAAUGAUUUUGACCGGGACAGUGUAUGGUUCCUGCACAUGGUUCCGAGACUUGUGAGGGUAAAUGCUGGAUGUGUCCAGCAGCAGAUGUUGGGGAUGAAUGCUCUUGAUCAUGAGGUCGUUACUCUUGUGUUGCGGAGGUUUUAUCAGCUUGACACUGCCGUGGAAGGAGCAAGCCCUUAG